GACGAACGCUGGCGGCGUGCUUAACACAUGCAAGUCGAACGGAAAGGCCCUGCUUUUGUGGGGUGCUCGAGUGGCGAACGGGUGAGUAACACGUGAGUAACCUGCCCUUGACUUUGGGAUAACUUCAGGAAACUGGGGCUAAUACCGGAUAGGAGCUCCGGCUGCAUGGUGGGGGUGGGAAAGUUUCGGCGGUUGGGGAUGGACGCGCGGCUUAUCAGCUUGGUGGUGGGGUAGUGGCUUACCAAGGCCUUGACGGGUAGCCGGCCUGAGAGGGUGACCGGACAUUUUGGGACUGAGAUACGGCCCAGACUCAUACGGGAGGCAGCAGUGGGGAAUAUUGCACAAUGGGCGGAAGCCUGAUGCAGCAACGCCGCGUGCGGGAUGACGGCCUUCGGGUUGUAAUCCGCUUUCGCCUGUGACGAAGCGUGAGUGACGGUAAUGGGUAAAGAAGCACCGGCUAACUACGUG
rnacentral:rRNA from 1 species